UACGGAGGAUGCGAGCGUUAUCCGGAUUUAUUGGGUUUAAAGGGUGCGUAGAUGGAUAAACAAGUUGGUUGUGAAAUCCCUCGGCUUAACUGAGGAAUUGCAACCAAAACUGUAGAUCUUGAGUACUGGAGGGGAAAGCGGAAUUCCUAGUGUAGCGGUGAAAUGCGUAGAGAUAUGGAGGAACACCAGUGGCGAAGGCGGCUUCCUGGUCUGCAACUGACACUGAGGCGCGAAAGCGUGGGGAGCAAACAGG
rnacentral:rRNA from 1 species